AAGAUGGCGACCGGCGCACGGGUGAGUAACACGUAUCCAACCUGCCGAUAACUCCGGAAUAGCCUUUCGAAAGAAAGAUUAAUACCGGAUAGUAUACGAAUAUCGCAUGAUAUUUUUAUUAAAGAAUUUCGGUUAUCGAUGGGGAUGCGUUCCAUUAGUUUGUUGGCGGGGUAACGGCCCACCAAGACUACGAUGGAUAGGGGCUCUGAGAGGAAGGUCCCCCACAUUGGAACUGAGACACGGUCCAA
rnacentral:rRNA from 1 species